UACGUAGGGGGCAAGCGUUGUCCGGAAUCAUUGGGCGUAAAGAGCGUGUAGGCGGCCUGAUAAGUCGGCUGUGAAAGUCAAGGCUCAACCCUUGAAUGCCGGCCGAUACUGUCAGGCUAGAGUCCGGAAGAGGCGAGUGGAAUUCCUGGUGUAGCGGUGAAAUGCGCAGAUAUCAGGAGGAACACCGGUGGCGAAGGCGGAUCUCUGGGCCGUAACUGACGCUGAGGAGCGAAAGCUGGGGAGCAACAGGAUAGACUAC
rnacentral:rRNA from 1 species